UCUUUUUUUGCAGAGAACUGGCAAAGAUCAUCAUAGUGCUGGUGAAGAGGGUUGCCUGGGUGUCCUUCAAUGAAACCUCAGAGAAGAUGCUAGAAGAACCCAGCAUCUGGUGUGGUGGCCUUCUAUAUCCAGUUGCUGCACAUUGGCCAGUGCCCUCACUCCCCAGAGAAGACUUGGAUGCUGCUGAUGGCCUGGCUCCAACAUCGCAGCCUAGCCGUUCAACAUCAGAGCAGGCAGGGCCUUCUCCUUCUCUGCAAAUCAGGUAGGUCCAAGGUGGGCUCCUUCUGCUGGGAGGCAAGUGCGGGCAAAGAGUUCUGUAACACGGAGGUUUGUAAAGAGCUCAGUCUCCUUUGGGAAAUUAUUCGUGUUUGGGGUGGAAGGAAAAUGAAGCCAACAAUGUUAAGUCUGAUCUGCUCAAGAGUGUAGAGACUCCAAGUGCACAGAGAAACUCAGGCAGCUGGGUGUCAUAGGGCAGAAAGGAAAAAAGAGAAGUGAAGGGUCAAUGUCAACCAAGGAAGGUUCACCUUGGGGUCUCCUUUAGCUCUGGCCCAAAGAGAGGCACCAAUGGAAGGAGACCCAAGCCCUGCUUUGUCUGCCCUUUGCAGCUUUCUCUCCCCCACCUCAUUCCAAUAGUCCUAUUACAUUUAUUUGUUCAUGUCCUCCUCAUUCUGCAAGCUGAGAUAGCCCAGCACAGGCACUGAAAAACUGGCAGAAAACCAUCAAUAUCCCUCCUCACCUUAGGCAGCAAAUGAUUUCAGUCUAUUUCUGCCUCUUGACCUUCCUUGCCUUUUGCUACCAAAAAGCUGUGUGAAUAGACUAAUCAAAGAAAAUGAUGCAGAGUAAGCAUACAUCGCCAGACAUCUUCUGCUUCAUAAUUCAUGCUAUAUUCGCAUUUGUUUAGAAUUGCCUUCUUUGUUUUUCUUUGCACCCCUUCUUUUUUCUUUCUCUUUUUGCAAGCCAAAACUUGAAGUUGUCCUUGUUAUUUCAAUGAAUUUACAAAGAUUAGGGGCCCAACUGCACCACCAGGACACAUUUUCACUGGGAUUCACUCUUGUCAUGUGACAGUAGCCAACUCAAUGAAAUAUCUCUACCCAGGGAGAGUUAGAGAGAAUGGUGACUUUCUUGGACUAGCUAAAUUCCUUCACAGAGCUUUUUUUAGUGAGUUGGUGACAUGAUUAUUGGUGUGCCUUAUCUUGAAAUCUUUAUUUUGUGAAACAGCUUGCAAAGGCUUGCAGUUUCAUCCUUCUUUUAUUUCAACCUUUAAUUCAGCCUCCCUGGCUUAGUUCAUCCUAUAUAACAGGGAAAUAUGGGCACCACCAGAUGAUGCUGAACAACAAAUCCCAUCAUUCCUUGCCAGUGCCUGUGCUGGGUAGACUUUUGGGGAGAAGCUGUUGUAGAUCAGCCUGAGACUGAUGGGUUCACCAAUGUUUCAGAGAGAAUUGUGGGAUUGCCUGUGGGAUUUCCAGGGGCACAAAGUGAUGGAGAUUUAAGUCAAGGGAGUAAUGCUUCUUUCAUUGAGAAAGCUGACUGGGAAAAUGCAGGCCUUCAAGGUCAGUCAAAGCAGUCAGAGACAUUAGAUAAGGAGGAGUCGAGUGGAGAAUUAAGUGAUACUGAAGGCUCCCAGGAAAAAGCACCUGGAGAUAUAAAAAUCAACACAGGCCUUCGUUUGCAGAUCAGACCAGACAAUAGACAUCGCAGGGCAGAGUGUUUGUGUGGGAAAGCUGGGGAGAGAUUUCAGGGGAGAUGAAAUGAUUUCAUGGGCAGCUUUUAAUUGGCAAGUUGUUUAAUUUCAAGUUAGUUCAGGCAACAUAGUGUCUGGAGUAAGAAGCUAGGCCUGAGUGUCUGGUCCAUGUUUCAAGUUAAGCCUUUGGUUUUGGGAUUCAAAUAAAUUGUAAAGUUUCUAUGUUCCUGUGGUUAUAUUCAUGAUCAAGUGGCUUAAGCUGUUCUUGCAUUUUUUGGCUAUUCCUGGACUAUAUUACCUUUGAAUCUGUUUAAGACAUUUGGACUCCUGUUGGAUUAUUGCUUAUUGCUAAACCCUUUUUGGAUAUACUUCUUCUUUCUCUAUUCCUGAAUUUUUCCAGACCUGGAGUGCAACAGAUGCAACCAAACAUCAAUUGGAGAGACAAGGUUAUCCACCCCCACUCCAAUCUAAAUAAUUAUUGGAAGGCUAAGUGCCAUGCCAGUUUGCAAUAUGGAUGUGAUCAUCAUCUUCUUUCUUUUUUUCAGUAGCUCUAACUCAACCACAGCUUGUUUUUUUUCUCAUUAGUGUGUGUAGACCAAAGCCAGAGUCAGAUGUAAUGGGAGUGAGGAUCACUGUAAACAUUGAGACUGAAAACAGAUUAAGCUUUCACUGCCUGAGUCUGACCUUAGGUUUAUUAACCAUUCUGUCUAUUAAUAAAGUGUAGUCCUCAGA